rnacentral:rRNA from 1 species
CCUACGGGAGGCAGCAGUGGGGAAUAUUGCACAAUGGGGGAAACCCUGAUGCAGCGACGCCGCGUGAGUGAAGAAGUAAUUCGUUAUGUAAAGCUCUAUCAGCAGGGAAGAAAAUUACGGUAUCUGUACAACAAUGCCCGGCUAACUACGUUCCAGCAGCCCCGGUUAUACGUAGGGGGCCAGCGUUAUCCGGAUUUACCGGGUGUAAAGGGAGCGUAGACGGCUGUGCAAGCCUGGAGUGAAAGGGGGGGGCCCAACCCCCGGACUGCUGUGGAAACUGUACGGCUGGAGUGCAGGAGAGGUAAGUGGAAUUCCUAGUGUAGCGGUGAAAUGCGUAGAUAUUAGGAGGAACACCAGUGGCGAAGGCGGCUUACUGGACUGUAACUGACGUUGAGGCUCGAAAGCGUGGGGAGCAAACAGGAUUAGAUACCCCUGUAGUC